CGGAGAAGGCGGGUGCGAGGGGCGGACCCGGCUGCCACCCCGCGCCUGACCGCUGGCAGCGCGACCCCAGCCUGGCCUGCGCCCCGGGGGCCAUCCUCGGCCCAGGCCCAGGAUUUUAAUGAAAAUCAACAUUACCUCCUCCCCUUGUGAGCUGGUUUUGUAACCAUGUCUGCGAAGGACUCUGAGGAAACUUUGUUCAUUAAGAGCUUGAGAUCUUAGCUCUGGAGCAAUUGGGAGUGGCCAGUUACUUCGACCCCUGAGCCUACACUGUACUGGACAGGUGAAUGGAAGAGCCAGGAAAAAUGAAGCAUCACGGACAAUAAACAAGGCUCAUGGGAAUUAGAUUGUUACAAACUCGUGGAUGCACAAGCAGUUAACAUUGAAUCCUCCAAAUGAGUCAUUGCACCGUUAUUACUCAAGGCAAGUCUAGGUCCAUUGGGCAGGAAAGUUAUCUGAAUGUGACAUCAACAUCACACCCCAUCCCUGGAAAAGGGCGCCUUCCCCAACUCUGCAAAGAGAACAGGUCCAGAUCAAUGUACUUUGCUCGCCCCCUCGCUCUCUCUCCAAAUGAGACUGGAGGGAGCCGUGUCCCUGAGACUGCCUCACUGCAUUGGAAUGUCUGAGCUAACAGUGCUUCCAGAGGGUUCAUUGCUCCUCUAAACAGCACUGCCCAGACUUUUUUAAUUCACUCUCCAACCUCGCCAACAGUUGCACACAAGGUGCCUUUUUUACACCCUGCUCUCUGUUCAGUGAAACACGCAGACCAUCUCAGGGGAACAAUGGCUCCAUUCAAGACUUUUUCAAAAGUGCAGCAUAUAACCUCCAUGCUGUGGGUUGCUGCCAGCCAUUAUCUGGAGGAAGAAAGACUGUCAGAUAAAAUGCCUGUGAAUUGGGGGAGCACUGGACAGUUUCCAUGGAAAAUUCGGCUUCAAUAAACUUAGUUAUGCAUCUUUCUGUACAAGACCAUUCUGCACACUCAAAAACAACAACAAAAACAAAAGCCCCAAGAAAUAAUGCUGUGGAAACUUUAUUUAAAUAUCGUGCAUCUAUAAUUGAAAUUUCAGCAGAGAGCACACAUCUCUUUUGAACGUGUUACAUAAUGGUCUCUAUUCGAUGGAAAUUGAUUUAAACAAGUUCUAAAUGUUGCAACUACAGAAUGUAAGUUAUAAAAUCAUUUUAAGAAAUGGAAUCAUAUCCCUACUUUCUUCUUCUUCCAUUCUGUAAUUUUUCAGAUGGGGGAAUGGUCUCUGACUUCAUAGUUGUUGAUGCCAACAGGAGGCCCCACAACCCCUACUACACAUAUUACAGAAAAAAAAGAUUGGCCCUUUGCCACAUUCAAAAAGCCAGCCAUCAGCUAACCCACAAACAAACCUUCUGAGGUUAGGAACUGAGUAGUCAGCACAGGCACCAUGGACACAUGCAUUGAUCUUUCUUAAAUGGAAGCUAAUUGCCAAGUAGAGGAAUUUGCCAACAGACAUCUGGGUAGCCUUGAAAACCAAGGAAGAACUGAAGGAACAAGCCAGCCCUUAGUUUAGGAGUUGCCAUUUCCUCACAUUCAAAGUCACUGCAUCAGAUUGUACUGGGUUUACCAGCUGUCUGCAAAUAUACUAGUGAGUUCAAACAGUGGAAAGAGAGCCAAAAACAAGUUUCCCAGAGUUAUCUGAUAUGUGAGAGUAGAAGUACUAAGGCAGUUUGAUGUUGAUGAAAAACAAUCUUGUUAAAGCAGUAGGUAGCUCCAUUUCUAUGAGGUAGUUAGGAGUGAGGGUGGAGGACGUCUGGUAAAAAGAGUGUGUGAAGCAGGAGAGACAAUCCUACAGAGUUUCUCUCACAUCGCCAGUGUUAGGGGCACAGACUCGAGUGUGGGACCACUUGAGUUGAAACACCAGAUUCACCCUCCAGGUAUGAGCCCUCCAGCAAGUUAUGAGGUGAGAUAAAAAAAAAAUACAGUGAAUGUUUAAAUUUUAA